GCUCAAGAUAAAUUAAUUACUAUAGUACUGCUACCACAACGGCAUAUCACCAAAAUAUAGUUUCUAGGUCGGCGCCCAGUCUUUUAUAUGUGUGUGUGUAAGUCGGAUAGAUUUUUAUAUGUAAUGUAAUCAAGUAUCAGCUCAGACUUUAGUUUGAUGUUCUGAAUGGAAACACAAAUUAGUUUCAAGUGUAUAAUAACUUUUAUUUACCAGACAAUAAUAUUAAAAACAACUGAAACAUGGAUUAACAGCAAUAAAUCUCUUAAAACAACAAUCAACAAUUAACAAUAGUCCGUAUAGAUUAGUCGAACAUAAGAUAAUACUCUAAAACAGCUACACCAAAAAUCAACAUUCAGGAAACACAGAUUAUAUCAGCAACUCUCCAUAUAAAUACAUGUAAAAUACUACACAAAUAAAGACCCUAUUUUUGUAACUCUCUUUUUAUAUUAUAAAAAGAUAUAUAAACAGCCACCCUACUAUUCGAAACAAACGGCCACUUUUGCCGAGUU
rnacentral:lncRNA from 1 species